UAUAAAUACAGCCCCCGGCCCGGGGACUAAAGUUAACGGCUGCAGUAUUACUGACUGUGCAAAGGUAGCAUAAUCAUUCGCCUAUUAAUUGUAGGCUGGAAUCAACGGCUAGACGAUAGAAGCUCUGUCUCUCUUUAUUAUUAAUUUGAAUUUAACUUUAUGGUGAAGAGGCCAUAAUUUAUUAGUGGGACGAGAAGACCCUAUAGAGUUUUACUUUGAUAGUAAUUUCUUAUUACUAAAAAGGUUUAGUUGGGGCAACUUUCUUUUAUAUAAAACAAAGAAUAAACAAUAAAUAAUCUAAUUUGUGACCUAAAAUUUUUUAAUUAAGGGAAAAAGUUACCUUAGGGAUAACAGCGUAAUUCUUCUUGAGAGUACUUAUUGACAGAAGAGCUUGCGACCUCGAUGUUGGAUCAGAAAACCCUAUAUGUGCAGCAGCCUCUAAGGGGAGGUUUG
rnacentral:rRNA from 1 species